rnacentral:rRNA from 1 species
GACGAACGCUGGCGGCGUGCUUAACACAUGCAAGUCGAACGGAAAGGCCCUGCUUUUGUGGGGUGCUCGAGUGGCGAACGGGUGAGUAACACGUGAGUAACCUGCCCUUGACUUUGGGAUAACUUCAGGAAACUGGGGCUAAUACCGGAUAGGAGCUCCUGCAGCAUGGUGGGGGUUGGAAAGUUUCGGCGGUUGGGGAUGGACUCGCGGCUUAUCAGCUUGUUGGUGGGGUAGUGGCUUACCAAGGCUUUGACGGGUAGCCGGCCUGAGAGGGUGACCGGCCACAUUGGGACUGAGGUACGGCCCAGUCUCCUACGGGAGGCAACAGUGGGGAAUAUUGCACAAUGGGCGGAAGCCUGAUGCAGCAACGCCGCGGGCGGGAUGACGGCCUUCGGGUUGUAAACCGCUUUCGCCUGUGACGAAGCGUGUGUGACGGUAAUGUGUAAAGAAGCACCGGCUAACUACGUG